UACGGAGGGGGCAAGCGUUGUUCGGAAUCAUUGGGCGUAAAGGGCGCGUAGGCUGUCUGGUGAGUUUGCGGUAAAAACCCGGGGCUCAACCGCGGGAGUGCGUUGAAUACUGCAAGACUUGAGGCUGGGAGAGGCUGGUGGAAUUCCCUGUGUAGAGGUGAAAUGCGUAGAUAUAGGGAAGAACACUCGUGGCGAAGGCGGCCCGCUAGUCCGGACCUGACGCUGAGGCGCGACAGAGUGGGGAGCAAACAGG
rnacentral:rRNA from 1 species